CCUACGGGUGGCAGCAGUAGGUAAUUUUGGGCAAUGGGCGGAACCCUGACCCAGCAACGCCGCGUGAGCGAAGAAGUUAUUCGUAAUGUAAAGCUCUAUCAGCCGGGAAGCAAAUUCCGGUACCUGAUUAAGAAGCACCGGACCACUACGUACCAGCAGCCGCAGGAUUACGCCGGGGGCUAGCGUUAUCCGGAUUUACUGGGUGUAAAGGGAGUGUAUGCGGUUCGCCAAGUCUGGAGUGAAGUGCCGGGGCUUAACUGGGGAACUGCUGUGGAAACUGGCUAACUAGAGUGGGGGAGGGGUAAGCGGAAUUCCUAGUGUAGCGGUGAAAUGCGUAGAUAUUAGGAGGAACACCGGUGGCGAAGGCGGCUUACUGGACCGUAACUGACGUUGAGGCGCGAAAGCGUGGGGAGCAAACAGGAUUAGAUACCCGUGUAGUC
rnacentral:rRNA from 1 species